rnacentral:lncRNA from 1 species
UUUGAUCAGGGGACUCAGCACCCCAGCGCGUAGGUUGUGAUUCGGACCGUGUUUGAGUCAGUCUACAAUUUCUGUAAGAAUCCCUACAUCUUAGCACUUCUAUGCAUAUAUUGAUUUAUCGUUGGAUUUAUUUACGGUUUUGAUGUUAUUGCUUGUGAGAUGAUAUGAUACAUAUGAGACGAAUUUUUAUCAACAUAUUUCAUUAUUAUGUUGUUAUUGUUUAUGUGUUGAUGCGGCACCUAUGAGGCGUGCAUGUUGUUUUUAAUGAAUAUAUUGAGAUAUAUUCAUUUGGGAAGAAAUAACAUAUUUUUGAAAAUUUAUGAAAAUAUGUGAUGUGAUGGGAAUGUGAUCGAACAUGUAAAACUAGACAUGUAAUAUGGGUUGGACUAACCUUGUCAUGAGAUAGCGGCCACGACGUAGCUGAUGCGUGGGAUAGCCUACACGGGCUUACGGAUAGCGGCCACGAGCUGAUGCGUGGGAUAGCCUCCACGGGCUUACGCGUGGGAUAGCCUCCACGGGCUUACGGAUAGCGGCCACGAGCUGAUGCGUGGGAUAGCCUCCACGGGCUUACG